rnacentral:rRNA from 1 species
AGUGAACGCUGGCGGUAGGCCUAACACAUGCAAGUCAACGGCAGCACAGUAAGAGCUUGCUCUUACAGGUGGCGAGUGGCGGACGGGUGAGGAAUACAUCGGAAUCUACUUUUUCGUGGGGGAUAACGUAGGGAAACUUACGCUAAUACCGCAUACGACCUACGGGUGAAAGCAGGGGAUCUUCGGGCCUUGCGCGAUUGAAUGAGCCGAUGUCGGAUUAGCUAGUUGGCGGGGUAAAGGCCCACCAAGGCGACGAUCCGUAGCUGGUCUGAGAGGAUGAUCAGCCACACUGGAACUGAGACACGGUCCAGACUCCUACGGGAGGCAGCAGUGGGGAAUAUUGGACAAUGGGCGCAAGCCUGAUCCAGCCAUACCGCGUGGGUGAAGAAGGCCUUCGGGUUGUAAAGCCCUUUUGUUGGGAAAGAAAAGCAGCAGGUUAAUACCCCGCUGUUCUGACGGUACCCAAGGAAUAAGCACCGGCUAACUUCGUG